ensembl:lncRNA
CAUGGUUGUAGGUUUAAAUGUACCAUGGUUGUAGGUUUAGGUGUAUAUGUUCCAUGGUUGUAGGUUUAGGUGUAGUUGUUCCAUGGUUCUGUCGUUAAAUGUUCCAUGGUUGUAGGUUUAGAUGUAUAUGUUCCAUGGUUGUAGGUUUAGAUGUAGAUGUUCCAUGGUUGUAGGUUUAGAUGUAGAUGUUCCAUGGUUGUAGGUUUAGGUGUAGAUGUUCCAUGGUUGUAGGUUUAGGUGUAGAUGUUCCAUGGUUGUAGGUUUAGGUGUAGAUGUUCCAUGGUUAUAGGUUUAGGUGUAGAUGUUCCAUGGUUGUAGGUUUAGGUGUAGAUGUUCCAUGGUUAUAGGUUUAGAUGUAGAUG